rnacentral:rRNA from 1 species
CUGCGGAGGGAUCAUUACACAAUACAAUAUGAAGGCCGUACGCGGCUGGAUUAUUUUAUUACCCUUGUCUUUUGCGCACUUGUUGUUUCCUGGGCGGGUUCGCCCGCCACCAGGACCACACCACAAACCUUUUUUAUGCAGUUGCAAUCAGCGUCAGUACAACAAAUGUAAAUCAUUUACAACUUUCAACAACGGAUCUCUUGGUUCUGGCAUCGAUGAAGAACGCAGCGAAAUGCGAUACGUAGUGUGAAUUGCAGAAUUCAGUGAAUCAUCGAAUCUUUGAACGCACAUUGCGCCCUUUGGUAUUCCAAAGGGCAUGCCUGUUCGAGCGUCAUUUGUACCCUCAAGCUUUGCUUGGUGUUGGGCGUUUUUUUGUCUUUGGUUGCCAAAGACUCGCCUUAAAACGAUUGGCAGCCGGCCUCCUGGUUUCGCAGCGCAGCACAUUUUUGCGCUUGCAAUCAGCAACAGAGGGCGGCACUCCAUCAAGACUCCAUUUUCACGUUUGACCUCGGAUCAGGUAGGGAUACCCGCUGAACUUAAGCAUAUCAUAUAAGCGGAGGAUUU